rnacentral:rRNA from 1 species
UACGGAGUGGACUAGCGUUGUUCGGAAUUACUGGGCGUAAAGCGCACGUAGGCGGAUUUGUAAGUCAGGGGUGAAAUCCCGGGGCUCAACCUCGGAACUGCCUUUGAUACUGCAAAUCUCGAGUCCGGAAGAGGUGAGUGGAAUUCCUAGUGUAGAGGUGAAAUUCGUAGAUAUUAGGAAGAACACCAGUGGCGAAGGCGGCUCACUGGUCCGGUACUGACGCUGAGGUGCGAAAGCGUGGGGAGCAAACAGG